GAGACAGGUGCUGCAUGGCUGUCGUCAGCUCGUGUUGUGAAAUGUUGGGUUAAGUCCCGCAACGAGCGCAACCCUUAUCCUUUGUUGCCAGCGGUUCGGCCGGGAACUCAAAGGAGACUGCCAGUGAUAAACUGGAGGAAGGUGGGGAUGACGUCAAGUCAUCAUGGCCCUUACGACCAGGGCUACACACGUGCUACAAUGGCAUAUACAAAGAGAAGCGACCUCGCGAGAGCAAGCGGACCUCAUAAAGUAUGUCGUAGUCCGGAUUGGAGUCUGCAACUCGACUCCAUGAAGUCGGAAUCGCUAGUAAUCGUAGAUCAGAAUGCUACGGUGAAUACGUUCCCGGGCCUUGUACACACCGCCCGUCACACCAUGGGAGUGGG
rnacentral:rRNA from 1 species